GCUGUAGCUCAGUGGUAGAGCACUUGCCUAGCACGCAUGAGGCACUGGGUUCGAUUCUUAGCAGC
rnacentral:tRNA from 1 species